rnacentral:misc_RNA from 1 species
UUAAGUUCAGCGGGUAUCCCUACCUGAUCCGAGGUCAACCUAAGAAAGUUGGGGUUUUUGGCGGGUGUUUCUAGCACUCAACAGCGGAAUAAUUACUACGCUGAGAGCUUUAUAGCACCGCCACUGUUUUUAAGGGAUGCAAGAAUGCAAGCCCCAAUACCGCUUGCGCGAUGUGGUCUAAUGACGCUCGAACAGGCAUG